ensembl:lncRNA
AUUUUAUGGUAUAGUGUUUUCUCCCUCUAUAGCCAAGAAGUUCAAAGGGAAAAUCUUACUACAGUUCGCUGUUGCUUCUUAGGACUCAGAUGCCAAAUGUGUAACUAGUGUCAAACUUGGGAAGCGAGUAAAGAAAGCAGGCAGCUUUAUUGCCUAUGAGGCAUGCAGAAUUUAAAAUAGCUGAAUUUUCUUCAAUCAGCACAAUUCUGAGGAGCUGUAUCUUCUCAUUCAGCAUUGAAUGAGAAGUAGUAUCCAAGUCAGUGAAUACUGACCAGAUGCAUAUUUGAGAUUCAAGUUCUAUGAAGAGGUGGGACACAGAGACCUACCAACCUGUCCAUCAACUCCAGUUGAUUUUUCAGCUGACUCACAGUGGUAUUUUCAAUUUUUUCUGAUCUGGAGUGUAAGACCACGGUGCCAAGAAAGGCAGAUGGUUGUUAGGAUAUUGGUGCUUGGAAUUGUUUCAUUAACUCUGUACUUAAGACUCAAAAAAAGAGAGGUUGAGAGAGAUAGAUGGAAGGCAUAAUUUACCUUCUGUCCAAUUUUUGUUGGUGGUAAAAUAAACAUUAUGUACACGUCACAAGUGCAGACAGACAUUACUGUUAAAUUUCAAAAGGAAAACAGAACAGAGUAGUUAUAUCAUCCUAAAAAGCUUGGUCCUUCAUAUACAUUUCUCACUUUUUAGUUAAGCCCCUACAUCUAGUGAUAAAUGUGACUACAUACACACAAUAUUGUCUGAGGUGUGCAAUACCAUUCUUCUAUGAUAGGACAUACUACUUUGAGCUCAGUUCUAGCUUAAAUUGUAUUAAAACCAUAUUACGAAUCUUAUGAAUGUGCCUCCUUUUUAGUAUACACAGGGGAGGCGUGGUUCUGCUCAUCAGAGUCUCAUCUGAUAUUGCUGGGUCAUGCUAUCCUUUGCAUUUCUGGAAUGGAACAUUCCUGCUACAACAGUAUCAGGCAGCUGGCAAUGCAGAAGUGAUUAAACCUACUUCUUCUCUUAGUUUCACUCAGUCUGACCAAACUGUUUGAAUUUUCCAAGUGAAAACAGUAAGAAUCAGUCUGUCACAUGCCGAAGUCAUGUUGCUUACAUAGGAGCUGAUUCAUCCCUGAAAAAUCAGAAGAAUCUCCUGUGUAAAAUGAGACUUGCAACAGUAAAGACUAGAAAUUUGCUGGGUUACGUAUAAACACAGAAUAAAGCCUAACAUAAGAGGAUGGGACAGGCUCUUCACAGCAAGAUGACAUUUAUAUCCAGAUCUACAAAACCAAGGCUGAUGUUGAAGUUCCUUUCCUAUUCUGUCUCUGAAAAAGCAAGAAAUUGGCACAAGGUACAGGUUUCAUAAACAUUUGUAUGUCACUCCUCUUCUGACUGUCAGAGAUUAGUCUAAAUUGGACUUUCUAUAGACAUUUGUGAAACCAGUGCUUGAAUACUCAAAUUUUUAUUAUUGCUAAUAAAAAAUUUGAAAAGUAAACUGCAGUGGGAAUGGGAUCACCACUGGAUUUAGUGGAAAUUUUUUACAUUACUCUUUUCUAUUGUUAAAAAAAAAACAACUGUGACUUUUUCAUGAUAAGAGCCUUUUAUCUGCUAGGUAUUAUUCUCUAAAAUUUCAAUUUUAUUGUAAUCUCUCAAUUGUCUACUCUAGGGCUCAAAUUUACAGACCUUGGCCUUUUAAGAGUUUCAUUAUAUAGAUCUUUAGCAAGGCAACUCUUUCUCCUUUGAACUUGAAAUGGAAAGAAAAGAUAAAUUUUGCUGCCUACAACAGUAUUUAACAGUAAAACUAAUCAUUCAACUGAAUCACAAGUUUUAAUCACCGAGUCACUGAGACAACAAAAAUCAUAUAUAUUAGUAUAUUUAUGGUAAUCUCCAACUUCAAACAAAGCCACAAAAGCCCUGCCCUACAUAUCUUAGUUUUGGUGAUAAAGCUGCCUUAGAAAUUCUGAAAGAAUGUAGCUAUUUGUUAAGUAUUAAUCUUUCAUAAUCAAUAGAAUGGUACUUGGUUUUUUUUGUUUGUUUGUUUGUUUGUUUGUUUUAAGAAGAAAAUAUCUUGAGGAUUCUGUAUUCAUGAAGUGUUCUAUCUACCAGUUAUCUAUAUUUUACUGUAAUUUAAAUCAAGAUCUGAGAAUGUCUUAUUCAUUUCCGUUGUAAAAGCACACAAUGGAGCGUCUCCUAAUGUUGGUAUUCUUUGUGAAUGUAUAGGAAUAAUGACCAAAUUAAUUUUACUUUUCAUUUCUCUGCUUGCUGUUUAAAUCACUGCAUCUAUUUUGCAAUUCUGUCCUCAGAGAAUAAACAAUUCCCUUCGU